GAACCAAUGCAUUGUAGUUUUAGAAAUUGUUUGACUGCAUUUUCUCAUAUGAAUGUGUAAAUAAGGAAAUGAUCGUUUUGCGAUCCUCAUAUACAUUCAACUCUUCAUUUAAUUCUAUUCAACGAGAUCAAAAAAAAUUCUUGUAUGCCUUCAUCACAUAGAUUGAAGAUUUUGACGCAAAGUUUCUACCGAAGCUGGAUCAAAAUCAUCCUUUGCAACACUUGUACUAAGUGCAACAUUACUUUCAAGCUCUUCCCCUAUGUCUUGAUGUUGCUUGCGGAUUAAUUCCAAGGAAUCGUGGCCUAGGACAAGCUUUUGAGGCGGCCUGUCGAGUUUGGCAAUGCUAUAUAACAACUCCGCAGCUUUGUUCGGGUCAGUUUCCUCGCAGCCAUGAUAGUUUUCCCAAAAUGGUCGCCAAGACCUGUCAUUUUCGUAGGCUGGAUGAGGUUUUGCCCAUUGCAUAUUAGAGGAAGCCCAUUCUGUUUGCAUGCCACCUGGCUGUACAAUAGUUAUCGCAAUGUUCCAAUUCGGAUCUAACUCUCUCAUAAUUGUUUGCGAAAGCCCUUCGACAGCAAAUUUGCUAGCAUUAUACAUGCUUAAACACGGAGAUGGGUAAUAACCUGCGACUGACGAAAUUUGUAAAAUACGCCCUCCUUUACCGGAUUCGCGCAUGAGAUUCAACGCUUCUUUGGUAAUGUAUGCAACUCCCCAAAAAUUUACAUUCAUUUGACGAUGCAUUUCCUCAAUGUUGUAUGAUUCAAAUUCGCCAACAAGGCCAUACCCUGCAUUGUUGAUCACUAUGUCUACGUUUCCAAAUCGCCUCUUUGCAUCUUUGAAAGCGGUUUCAACAGACUUCACAUCUGUAACAUCUAAUUUGAGCUUUAAUAAUUUUGAAUGCUCGAUGGUUAUUGUGUCGGGAGCACGAGAACAAGCUAUUACAUUAUAACCUUGGGCCAAUCCAACUUUCACCAAUGCAUAGCCCAAUCCUUUGGAUGACCCAGUAAUGAGUACAGUAGAAAACGUAGAUUUCAUUGUUUCUUAUGAUCGUGUUUCGUCUUUUGAGACACCACGAUUGUACAAUUAAACAAUUUUUUUGCUUUCUCAACCAAGCCCGUUUUUACCCGAUUACUGUUGUAGUAAGCCUUUUCAAAUGGUAUUCGAGUAGUUCACAAUCGUCGCGUAACAGACAAACCCUGAUUCUUUUGAGCUUCUUAACAAUGAAUUGCUUAACUUAACUCU